AACGAACGCUGGCGGCAGGCUUAACACAUGCAAGUCGAACGGGUGUAGCAAUACAUCAGUGGCAGACGGGUGAGUAACACGUGGGAACCUUCCUAGGGGUACGGAACAACUCAGGGAAACUUGAGCUGAUACCGUAUACGUCCGUGAGGAGAAAGAUUUAUCGCCCUUAGACGGGCCCGCGUCGGAUUAGCUAGUUGGUGGGGUAACGGCCUACCAAGGCGACGAUCCGUAGCUGAUCUUAGAGGAUGAUCAGCCACACUGGGACUGAGACACGGCCCAGACUCCUACGGGAGGCAGCAGUGGGGAGUCUUGGACAAUGGGCGCAAGCUUGAUCCAGCCAUGCCGCGUGAGUGAAGAAGGUCUUCGGAUUGUAAAGCUCUUUUGCCAGGGACGAUAAUGACGGUACCUGGAGAAUAAGCCCCGGCAAACUUCGUGCCAGCCGCCGCCGUAA
rnacentral:rRNA from 1 species